rnacentral:rRNA from 1 species
UAGUAACUGCGAGUGAAGCGGGAAAAGCUCAAAUUUUGAAUCUGACGGUCGUAAAGGCCGUUCGAGUUGUAAUCUAGAGAAGCGUGUUCCGUGCUGGCCCGUGUACAAGUCUCCUGGAAGGGAGCGUCAUAGAGGGUGAGAAUCCCGUCUCUGACACGGACCACCAGUGCCAUGUGAUGCGCUCUCGACGAGUCGAGUUGUUUGGGAAUGCAGCUCAAAAUGGGUGGUAAACUCCAUCUAAAGCUAAAUACUGGCGAGAGACCGAUAGCGAACAAGUACCGUGAGGGAAAGAUGAAAAGAACUUUGGAAAGAGAGUUAAACAGUACGUGAAAUUGCUGAAAGGGAAACGCUCGACGUCAGUCGCGUCGGCCAGGGAUCAACCUCGCGAGCGAUCGCUGGGUGCACUUCCUGGUCGACGGGUCAGCGUCAGUUUCGGUCGUCGUACAAGGGCGAGGGGAACGUGGCACUCUUCGGAGUGUGUUAUAGCCUUUCGUCGCAUGCGUCGGCAGGGACUGAGGAACUCGGCACGUCCUUCGGGACUCGUGUCUAGGAUGCUGGCAUAAUGGCGUCGAGCGACCCG